CGAAAUAGCUUUAGGGCUAGCGUCGCAGCGAGAGAGCCGUGAAGGUAGAGCACUGAAUAUGCGAUGGCCGCAUCCCGCGGUACUGAGCAUAAUCAAACUCCGAAUGUCACGGUGUCAUCUGCGGCAGUCAGACGGCGAGUGAUAAGGUCCGUCGUCAAGAGGGAAACAGCCCAGACCAUCAGCUAAGGUCCCAAAGUGCAUGCUAAGUGGAAAAGGAAGUGGAGACGUGCAGACAACUAGGAGGUUGGCUCAG
rnacentral:rRNA from 1 species